rnacentral:lncRNA from 1 species
AUAUGGCUGUUUACAGUCAUGCUUUUUAAACUUUUCUCUGUUUGUCAUAUUUCUUAGUAAAAUGUUAGGUAAAUAAAAUAAAUCUGCAUUCUAAAAUAUAUGUAUAAAAGCAAAAAUAAACAAAUGGGAUCUAAUUAAAAUUAAAAGCUUCUGCACAACCAAGGAAACUUUAAGCAAGGUGAAAAGACAGCCUUCUGAAUGGGAGAAAAUAAUCGCAAAUGAAGCAACUGACAAACAACUAAUCUCAAAAAUAUACAAGCAACUUAUGCAACUCAAUUCCAGAAAAAUAAACGACCCAAUCAAAAAAUGGGCCAAAGAACUAAAUAGACAUUUCUCCAAAGAAGACAUACAGAUGGCUAACAAACACAUGAAAAGAUGCUCAACAUCACUCAUUAUUAGAGAAAUGCAAAUCAAAACCACAAUGAGGUACCAUUUCAUGCCAGUCAGAAUGGCUGCUAUCCAAAAGUCUACAAGCAAUAAAUGCUGGAGAGGGUGUGGAGAAAAGGGAACCCUCUUACACUGUUGGUGGGAAUGCAAACUAGUAUAGUCACUAUGGAGAACAGUGUGGAGAUUCCUUAAAAAACUGGAAAUAGAACUGCCAAAUAUUCUUUAUUAUUUAGCAGGAAAUCAACACAAAACAUAUCUAUUUUAGUUAAGUUGAUUUUGCUUUCUCUCAUAUAUAUAUAUGGGAGCAGCAGAAAGGUAAAGAACCCGCCUGCCAAUACACGGUACCCAGGAUGUGGGUUCUAUCCUUGGGUCAAGAAGGUCCCCUGGAGGAGGAAAUGGCCACCCACUCCAGUAUUCUUUUUUUUUUCACUCCAGUAUUCUUGCCUGGAAAAUUCCAUGGACAGAGGAGCCUAGCAGGCUACAGUCCAAAGUGUCACAGAGUCAGAUACAAUUGAGUAACUGAUCACGCAUGCAUACAUGUGUAAAUAUAUAUUUGUAGAUUUAUAUAAACUGUCAUCUU